rnacentral:rRNA from 1 species
GGGGGGGGGGGGGGGGGGGCGGGGCGGGGGGAGGGCGGGGGGGGGGGCCCUGCUGGGGUGGGGUGCGCGAGGGGCGGACGGGGGAGUAACGCGUGCGUAACCUGCCCUUGACUUUGGGAUAACUUCAGGAAACUGGGGCUAAUACCGGAUAGGAGCUCCUGCUGCGUGGUGGGGGUUGGAAAGUUUCGGCGGUGGGGGAUGGACUCGCGGCUUAUCAGCUUGUUGGUGGGGUAGUGGCUUACCAAGGCUUUGACGGGUAGCCGGCCUGAGAGGGUGACCGACCACAUUGGGACUGAGAUACGGCCCAGACUCCUACGGGAGGCAGCAGUGGGGAAUAUUGCACAAUGGGCGGAAGCCUGAUGCAGCAACGCCGCGUGCGGGAUGACGGCCUUCGGGUUGUAAACCGCUUUCGCCUGUGACGAAGCGUGAGUGACGGUAAUGGGUAAAGAAGCACCGGCUAACUACGUG